rnacentral:rRNA from 1 species
UUUUAUGGAGAGUUUGAUCCUGGCUCAGGAUGAACGCUGGCGGCGUGCCUAAUACAUGCAAGUCGAGCGAACGGACGAGAAGCUUGCUUCUCUGAUGUUAGCGGCGGACGGGUGAGUAACACGUGGAUAACCUACCUAUAAGACUGGGAUAACUUCGGGAAACCGGAGCUAAUACCGGAUAAUAUUUUGAACCGCAUGGUUCAAAAGUGAAAGACGGUCUUGCUGUCACUUAUAGAUGGAUCCGCGCUGCAUUAGCUAGUUGGUAAGGUAACGGCUUACCAAGGCAACGAUGCAUAGCCGACCUGAGAGGGUGAUCGGCCACACUGGAACUGAGACACGGUCCAGACUCCUACGGGAGGCAGCAGUAGGGAAUCUUCCGCAAUGGGCGAAAGCCUGACGGAGCAACGCCGCGUGAGUGAUGAAGGUCUUCGGAUCGUAAAACUCUGUUAUUAGGGAAGAACAUAUGUGUAAGUAACUGUGCACAUCUUGACGGUACCUAAUCAGAAAGCCACGGCUAACUACGUGCCAGCAGCCGCGGUAAUACGUAGGUGGCAAGCGUUAUCCGGAAUUAUUGGGCGUAAAGCGCGCGUAGGCGGUUUUUUAAGUCUGAUGUGAAAGCCCACGGCUCAACCGUGGAGGGUCAUUGGAAACUGGAAAACUUGAGUGCAGAAGAGGAAAGUGGAAUUCCAUGUGUAGCGGUGAAAUGCGCAGAGAUAUGGAGGAACACCAGUGGCGAAGGCGACUUUCUGGUCUGUAACUGACGCUGAUGUGCGAAAGCGUGGGGAUCAAACAGGAUUAGAUACCCUGGUAGUCCACGCCGUAAACGAUGAGUGCUAAGUGUUAGGGGGUUUCCGCCCCUUAGUGCUGCAGCUAACGCAUUAAGCACUCCGCCUGGGGAGUACGACCGCAAGGUUGAAACUCAAAGGAAUUGACGGGGACCCGCACAAGCGGUGGAGCAUGUGGUUUAAUUCGAAGCAACGCGAAGAACCUUACCAAAUCUUGACAUCCUUUGACAACUCUAGAGAUAGAGCCUUCCCCUUCGGGGGACAAAGUGACAGGUGGUGCAUGGUUGUCGUCAGCUCGUGUCGUGAGAUGUUGGGUUAAGUCCCGCAACG